GACGAACGCUGGCGGCGUGCUUAACACAUGCAAGUCGAACGGAAAGACCCUGCUUUUGUGGGGUGCUCGAGUGGCGAACGGGUGAGUAACACGUGAGUAGCCUGCCCUUUACUGUGGGAUAACUUCAGGAAACUGGGGCUAAUACCGGAUAGGAGCUCCUGCUGCAUGGUGGGGGUUGGAAAGUUUCGGCGGUUGGGUAUGUACUCGCGGCUUAUCCGCUUGUUGGUGGGGUACUGGCUUACCAAGGCUUUGACGGGUAGCCGGCCUGGGAGGGUGACCGGCCCCAUUGGGCCUGGGAUACGGCCCGGACUCCUGCGGGAGGCAGGAGUGGGAACUAUUGCCCAAUGGGCGGAGGCCUGAUGGAGCAACGCCGCGUGCGGGAUGACGGCCUUCGGGUUGUAAACCGCUUUCGCCUGUGACGAAGCGUGAGUGCCGGUACUGGGUAAAGAAGCACCGGCUAACUCCGU
rnacentral:rRNA from 1 species